rnacentral:lncRNA from 1 species
AAAUAAGUUACAUACUACAAAAGCUGACGAAUUUUCAAUUUUCAAAUUCGUUUGACAUAUUUGAUCACAUGACAACUAUAUAUAAUACAUAUUAUACAGUAUUAGCAGAAUUGAUGUUGUAAAAAACAAUUGUAAAAUAAUAAGAAACCUUUAAAACAUUAAACAGGUACAUGCAUGUAGAGUUUGUGAAUUUUCUAUAUAUCUUUUAGAAAACAAAUGGAGAUUAUAAAUCAACAGACUCGCUGCGAUAAAGUCUUUUUGUGCUAAUGCGGCGUAAAGCAAACAACAAUCAAUCAAUCAAUAAAACAACAGACAAUAUUCGUUCUACACCAUAAAGUAUUCCCUUUUGCAUCUGACAUUUCAUACAGCAUAUGUUGUCACACUCUGGAAAGCUUUCAAGGAACGUUACAAUUUUAGACGUUUUAUUACUUUUCCUUCCCUGCUGUGUGCCUUUCGGUGGUUAUCUUGAGAACUAUUCUUAAUAUAGCUUAAAGAACUACGAAUAUAGAAACCUCUAGAUUUAAAUUGAUCAAACCUGGCAUAAAUAUAGGUUACCAGUUGUCCUGUGAGUGGCUCACUUAAUCUUGAUAUCUUUGUUUUAAACAGGUUUAUAGUAUGUGAACAUCGGUACACUGCCGAUGUAUUUUUAUGUU